AGUACCAGAAAAGUGAUCUGAGUAUUUAUUGAGCAGGGAGAACAAACUGCUUGCUCCAGGCAGGGAGAAGGCUUAUGGAAAUGAUAUUAGACCUUCAGCAAAGUGCACAGCUGCAUCAUACAGAAGCUGAGACUCAAACUGACAGGCAAAUAAGCCAGAUCACGGAAGGGGCCUCUGUGUGGCAGCUCUGAGCUACCAAGUGUUGGACAACUAGGCAAAAAGUGCAAUGGAACAGGGCAGAAAAUAACACACUAACUUCAGGCAACUGUUGCUUAUUCAUGGACUAGAAAGUUACAUUUUCCAUAGAUGUAAUCUUCUGCCUGCUGUGAUGCUCCACCCUGAGUGAUGGCACAUGCAGCACUGACUAGCACUGGCGAAUGAAUGAGAUUUCUUGCAAUAAGGUGUGCAGCUGCCAUUCCAUCUGACAGCAGGACUGUGUUUGCUGCUCCACGAGCUGCAGAGCAAGAGAAACCAACUUGAGGAGCAUGCACAUUGUGAUAGCCUCAGCGGUUUCUUUUACAAUGUGUUCGGCUCAGGCCAGUGAAUUUUGUUUAACUGAUCAGUGAAAGAAAAAUAAAACUGAAAAAGGAAAAUUGAAGAAGUUAAUUAUACCAGAAUUCAGCGAAGCUGAACGGCUUCCCGAAGAGCACUGAGUUUUCUAUGCCAGAUUCUGCUCCAGUGGCUAGGACCUUUAUGACUGCUGUUUCUUUUGCUCUGGGAUCUGAUGGAGGGAAAAAAAAAAAAAAAAGCCACGAUGGAUCCUGUCCCUAAAGUAGAAAUUUUCUUUUUCAUUCUGCAAACAAGGCUAAAGAUCGGAGGAGAAUGAAUGCAAAAGUAUUUCAGGAUUGUGGUCGUGCCAUUAAAAGUGUUCGGCUUCAGAACAAAAUUAUUUGGGAAAUCCGAGCAUUUCUUCUUACUGUAUCKACAGUAUUUGAAAGUUAUGUGUGCUUUGAGUAAUCUGGUUCAAGUGACAACAGCCUCUGCAUGUCAAUGUUUUCUGCAGCUUGUGGAGCGAAAGCUAGCUUUGCCACUGGAAAGGAAGAAGCUUUUUCUAGCAGUCUGUAGAAGGAUUAAAUGUUGAACGUGGGGAAGAGGCAAAAAGUGAACACACGCCCAAAGGUUAUCCUUGCAUCGUGAAUGGGUUUAAAGUACUCUGCAACCCAGGGCCCACCUGAACAGUAGGACUAAAAGUAUAAUGGGAAAUAUUUCAAUUAGAACCCCCAAGCAUUUAAUCCUUCUUUCAGGCAUUAAGGAAAUAGAAUAAAAUUGUUACUGUACAAAUCUGCUGGAAGCAGAUUUUAACCCAUUUGUAGACGCUUCUCUCUGAUGCCUUACAGUAAUAUGGCUCCUUGCGAGACGAGGCAGUGAAGAUUUUUCUCCUGUGUUCUUUGUUUUCCCCUUUCAAAAGUUAAGGACUAUACUCUCAGAAAAGUCUGUUCGGUCAGCUGAUACAUUGUUUGAAUGUAUGUAUGCAUCUUGCCUGCUUAUUUGAUCUUUUCUGCCCCCUACUUGAAACUGUGGUUUGUUUAUUUGGGGGGAAGGAGGUGUGGUUGAUUUGGGGGGGAUGUUGUUUUUAGGGUUUCUUUUUGGCUUUGGAUUUUUUUUCUAUUUAACAUUAGCUGUGAAAUUUUGCUGACAGCGAUUAUGACUACUAAACAAUUCAGUUUAUUGGAAGACGAAUUCUACUGGAUCAUAUUGGACUUUUCCUAGUCCCUGAGACCCUAACUUGUGAGGUUUUUUAGCAACAAUCACAAGUCAGGCUCUUGGGACCUAGGCGGAGGGGAACCAGCAGCUUUGGACUGUGAUUGUUUCUCUGCAGAAUUUAGAGAACCAAAGGAGCUUUCCUUGCCUGGAAGGGUAAAAAGGAAAAUAUACCUGUUUCAAAUGUUAAGCAUCAGGAGUGUUCCUAAAAGGAAAAAAAAAAAAAUCUAAACUGUUACCCAUUGUGCAACAUUAGGAUGUUACAUAUUUAUAUGUUUAGAAAACUGGACUAAAUGUCAUGCAACAUUUAGAAUUAAAAUUUAACCUGAAUGCUAGUUUGCAUCUAAACCUCCCCCCAAACAACAAAAACAAGAAAACCCCCACUCAAAACAGAUGCUAAAAUAUAAAAAAACACUUCCCAUCAUAAUAUUACUACUACUACUACUACUAUUGUAGACAAUUCUGGUAAUUACCACCAAGUAUAUAUUCAUCCUUACUAUUACAGCAUUAAUUGACUUUUAAAACAUAAAACAUAAACCCUGAUGUUUGAGGCCUAGAAAACAUUCAUUCUAUUGUUUGAAUAAUGAUUUCAGUCUACAGGAAAACUGUUGCUUAGCUUUUCCUGUGCCAUGGGACAAAUAAUAUUUUGUAGUUAUUUGCCAUCUUWUUUCUUUGUCCAAGUAAGAACACAAUAUGGCAUUUAAAACAUUCAUUUAAUUUACAUUUUAGUCUGAAGGAGAAUGUUGGUUUAAAAAUCAUAAUACAGCAUUAACAUCCCUUUGCACUCAGCAUCAUAUUUCUUGUACCUGCACAAUUUAAAGUGAAUCCACAAUACACCGGACCCAAAUUCUAACUUCCUCCUCACUUCUUGUAUUUUUUACCCCUCUGAAAAAAAGCAGUGUGAGCUUUAGCUUUUCCCUCCUGUGUUAAGUACUUCAUUGACUUUGCAUAAGAAGAUUCACCAGCACAUGAGUUAUUCUGCACUGCUUGUUUGUCUCAGGCUUCUGAUCUACAACACAUAAUUUGAUUUGUAUUUCUUAAUAUUUUAGAGGUGAGUUAGUUCUGAGUCAUUUUUCUCUGUUUUCUGUGUCUAACCAAGAUGCUGCAGGACCUUGUUGAUACAUCAGACUUCACUGAAACAAAAGCUUCACACAGAUCAGGCAUCUAAACUAUUUGUUCAUUUCAAAAGUGGUAUUUUGGCCGCAGUAUAUUUUUUCCACUUGUGUGGGAGGAAUUGUGUUUUAUUGUAAGCAUCAACACUAUUGUUAAAAUAAAUUGUUCUUAUCUGUUAGUAUAAUACUUUUUCUUCUUGUCUUGUUUUCUUAAGAGACUGAAACUAUGCACAGUACAUAGUUUUCAAGUUGCUCAAGAUAUAAUUAGUCUUUAAAUAGUCAUAAAAAAUAUUGCCUUAGCAAUUACAAUGAUGAUACAGUUCCUGUAAAUAUGUAAUUCUUUUCUUCCUAAACUGUCAAUCCCACAUGCUAAGAACACCCAAAAGAGCUACUUGCAAAAAUUUAGAUACAGAGGUAACUYUUUUAACACAGACGGGAUAUUCAACAUUGAGUUCUGUUUAGGCAAUAUUGGAAAAGUAGAUGUGAAUGUGUACAGGAAAGACAAAUACACCCAGAUAGGUGCUACACUCCUGAAGCACUUUGUUAGCAAUUUACACAUAUUCUGUAGCAGUUUUCAAUACUGAAAACAGAUUAUUUAAGAUACGGAUCAGGUGAACACAAAUUCUGUUCAUUCAAGCUGUAUAAUGAGAUAAAACUAUACUGUGUGUUGGUAUAUACAUGUCAAUAUAAAAUUUAAAUUAUGCGUAGCAUUUAUCAAAAUAAAAAAUCCUUAUAGAUUUAAUCACCUGUAUGAUGCACCCAUCUGUGCAUAUUAAAAUUGUCAUUGCAUUUGGUUUUCAAUCAGCAAAAUUUACUUGAAUGAGGAUAGAUAACAUUCAGCACUAUGAAUUCAUUUUGCGUUUAACACUGUAUGUACAAUGAAGGUGAAACUGUGGUGUGAAACGUUUUGUCUCUGUCAGUCUAAAGAUUUCAACUAUGCUCUGCUCUGCAUUGAGAGUGAGAAGAAAAUGAAUAAUUAGAAACCCCUGCCUGGCUUAUUUGGUGCUCCAGCAAAAGCCGUAAAUGUGCAGUCCCGCCUGUGCGUUACUGCUUGAACUGGGAUGACUCCAGUGGCUCCGCUCUGCCCAUCGUACUCACUGCUGCCCCUUGCCACAGUGAUGGGAAAGUUGGUGCACUGCCUUCCUCCUUUCCUGCUCCCUCUUCYUCCCCAGCCUCAGCACAGCCACCCCAGCCUCAGCUACACAGGGAAGGAAGAGGCAGAGGAUGGAGGGCAGGGAGAAGCAAGAUCUUCACUCAGCCAGAAUCUCCGCCGAGAUCCACAAGGUGUUUCCGUGUCCUGGGAAUACAUGACAAUGGCUGCAGARACCAUGCAGGAAGCAGUCCCAUUUACCCAUUGACAGGAUAUGAAAACUGUCUCUAUUAGCACAAAUAAAUAGAAAGCAUCAUAUUUGGUAUGCUAUGCUUAGAUUUAUGUGCAGAAUUUCAAUAUAUUCCUAUCUAUAGGAAUCACAUAUUUCUACACGACUUGAUGUUGUUUCAGUGCAAAAUGCAUUUAAAUGCUCUUUAAUAUGUGAUUUCAGAGUAAUCAGCUUGUGCUACAACAAAAACAAAAAAAACCAAAACACAAGCUCUUGCAAAGGGGGAGGAAGAGAGAGAGAGUGAAAAAGAUGUGUGGUGCAUACAAAAAAGGACUGAUAUUAACAAUUCGAUGGGUUCCUAGCUGGUAGAGCAGACUGAGCCAGACGCAUAUAUUAGCGGCUGUCUGCUGCUGAUGGGAGCCUGCUCAAUGCGGUGGAAAUGAAGGAUCACCUGGGCUCUGACACCAGCUUAUUUGUACAUUUUAAUUUUAAAAAGGAAAAUCACUGUUUUACAUAAACAUCUUAACCCCUACAUGAUUUUUUUUCUUUUUUCCUGCCUCGUAUUGUUUGCUAAUUUACUGUCAACCUAAAGUGCUGUUUAGCUACAGCCCAACAAAACAUCAGUCAAAAAGCACAGGGAAGUAUUAGCUUCUCUUUUGUCUGCCAUGUACAAUUGAGUUAUUAUUAUGAUAAUUGUCUACUUUAAUUUUUAGUCUUCAUGGGAGAUGCAACGAUUUCCUGGAGCUUCAUUUUUGAGGCAUUUUAGGUUUCAACAAUUUACCACUUCAUAUUUAACCCAAACAAUGUAAA